rnacentral:rRNA from 1 species
GAUGAACGCUGGCGGCGUGCCUAAUACAUGCAAGUCGAGCGAACAGACGAGGAGCUUGCUCCUUCGACGUUAGCGGCGGACGGGUGAGUAACACGUAGGUAACCUACCUAUAAGACUGGGAUAACUUCGGGAAACCGGAGCUAAUACCGGAUAAUAUUUCGAACCGCAUGGUUCGAUAGUGAAAGAUGGCUUUGCUAUCACUUAUAGAUGGACCUGCGCCGUAUUAGCUAGUUGGUAAGGUAACGGCUUACCAAGGCAACGAUACGUAGCCGACCUGAGAGGGUGAUCGCCCACACUGGAACUGAGACACGGUCCAGACUCCUACGGGAGGCAGCAGUAGGGAAUCUUCCGCAAUGGGCGAAAGCCUGACGGAGCAACGCCGCGUGAGUGAUGAAGGUCUUCGGAUCGUAAAACUCUGUUAUUAGGGAAGAACAAACGUGUAAGUAACUGUGCACGUCUUGACGGUACCUAAUCAGAAAGCCACGGCUAACUACGUG